GAAUAAAACCCAUGCUCUGUUCUUCUCCUGAGGCAGUCAAAACCCUAGAGGAGGCACGGCACAGGCACAGGCGCCCCUUAGCCGUGCGGCGGCCUGGCCCUCAGGUGUGGCGGCUCGGCCUUCCAGUCCUGGCCGGCCAGCGGCAGGCCGCACGAAGGAGCAGCCAGCCCCUUCCGUCCUGCAGGCGGCAUGAAGGUAUGCAACCAGCAAAUGUACGAGUUAGGCCAAAAGACAUGUGCUGAGAAAAAGCUUGAUACAGGUGUUAGUAAUACACUUGCCACUUUGGAAACUAUUAAUGACUUGUGUGUUAUAAUGUAUAUGAACUUCAUGUAAGGAUGAAUGAUAAAUGCACUUGUAAUAUUUUAUGGAUAUCUUAAUGUAAAUAUAAUGGUUGCGCUCAAUAACAAAAUGUCUAUAUGUAUGUCA